ensembl:lncRNA
AAGCGGCCAAGACAGCGGCAGUAAGUCGCCACCGCUGACGUCAGCGCGAGCCGUGGGUCACGGAGCAGCGCGUCGGUAGCCGGGCGCGUGGCGAGGCGCCGAAAUCCCCGAGUGUCCUUCGAAACGUCCGGCCUGGCCGUGCUCGCCGGCCGCUGCCGGGCGGGCGGGCGCACCUCGGGCCGCGGCGGCACCGAGCGCCCCUCACCGUUUUUCACCAUCGCUUGCUCGGUGCAGAAGCGCCAGAACGGGGCCCAGGCGUUGCCUCGCGCGAUAACAGUAAAAGGAGAGGAGAGGCGUGCGCGAAGCCGGCUGGGGAGCGGAGCGUUUCGCUCCUUCAUUCUGUUUUACGGCUGCAGUAUUCYGUUUGAUGGCCUCCGCCAUCCAGAAUAUUGCCUCCUGCGAUGGCACUAACGAGGGAAUGCUGCUUUGUGCUCCUGCUUUAAACACUUGUAUUGCACUUUAAUGCAAAUAUGGUAUCCUUGUCGUUAUGUUUAGGCAGAGUUCCAAAUGGCCAUCUCUCAACUAAUUCACUUAUCUAGAUAUUUUUGCAGAAAUAGCUCCCUUUUCACAUGUUAUUUGAUUUUAAAUGGUAAGUACAGUUCUUCUCAGACUAACUCUGGAUAUUUCAGAAUAUGCAAGAUGUAAAACAUGGAUGUUUUCCAUCUGGAAAAAUUUUGAGAGAGGAAGUUCAACCUUCAUUUUUCAUUAGAUUUCAAUGCAUUAUGGCAUAUCCUAUUUUCUUGUUAAUUAGACCCUGUUCAUUUUCUUCAGUUCAUUACUUGCUACCGCACCUAGAAUUUAUAUUCAUUUGGUUUAAUUGUGUUUGCCUGGUUAAAUUCUAAACAGUUACUCAUUCAGAAAGGAAAUUAUUACCCCACUCUGCCAGGACUUCCACUUUGGCUUAAUUUCCCUGGAGCCUCAUUUACUUUCUUCUGCAUUUCUCCUCACUGGGUCCCCUUGGGUUUGGCUGGAAGUGCGUGCAACAUUUUUACCAUCAUUGACUUUCUUCACGUACACUGGCCAUCUACAAAUUCAUGCCGUGGUCUUGCAUGGUACACCAUAUGCAGGCUACUGAAUUCAUACAGCAGCUCGCAGAACAUGAUGAAACACUUAGGCUCUGCUGAUGGCCAUCUCCUUGCACAGAAGGAACAUGGAAAACCACCAAGCCAUUCCCUGACAGCAAACACCGUCCUCAGUUUCCCCCCAAAUAACUCCCGAAAACGAAGGCCUGCAAGAGUGCAUGCAGUACAAUUACACCAUCAGCUGCAGACUCUGAGCCGACUGCCAGCCCACGAUCAGCCACAAGGAGUCAGGCAAGAGGUUUAGAAGAAAGUGCUUAUUGUAGGAGCUGGCAAACACAAAAUGGGAUGGCUACAGGUAGACCAAGGGGUAGAGGAAAAAGGAUAUUGCAGAAUAAGAGCAUCUGAUGAUAGAGUAGAAGGAAUGAAUCUGCAGAUGUAUCUCGAAGAAAAAUGUGAAACUGGCUAGAUGCGAGCCCACAGCAGGAUCGUAUGGCGCAUGAGCCCAGUGGCCAUUCGGUGAUCUUGUCAUAUUGCUGCCGUGCAGCCUCUGUCCUCGGAGCUGAUUGCGGCUGGCGGCUGUGCCUUCCCUGCUGCCUGAUUGCACUCACACUCCACAGAAUAUUCAGCUGCUGCGAUGGCUUUUCUGUCCAGAUGACAAUCUUUCAGUGCUAUGGUAAUGGGGCUGCUCAGCUGAAAGUGGAUGCUUGAAAAUUCUCCGCACCCUUCCACCUUCCCAGCAAACAGGUACCCGUAAUUACCCCAAAUGGUAGAGAGUUCAGUCAGACAAAGCCACGGCAAAUGACAGUUCUUUCACGGGAGAGCCUGAAGGAAGGGGUCACACCAGCUAAUACAGUAACAGCACACCUUAGGCCUAUAUGCAAUUUUCAUUACGGCUCUUGAAUAUCUGUGGCGUGAUUGACAUCUGUACAAAGAAGGAGAGAAGCAGAUAAAAAUAACAGCUGCAGUUUCUACUGAAUAAACUGAACUUAAAUGCCUUUUUUGAGUUGGUU